rnacentral:rRNA from 1 species
CCAGACUCCUACGGGAGGCAGCAGUAGGGAAUCUUCGGCAAGGGGGGCAACCCUGACCGAGCAACGCCGCGUGAGUGAAGAAGGUUUUCGGAUCGUAAAGCUCUGUUGUAAGAGAAGAACGAGUGUGAGAGUGGAAAGUUCACACUGUGACGGUAACUUACCAGAAAGGGACGGCUAACUACGUGCCAGCAGCCGCGGUAAUACGUAGGUCCCGAGCGUUAUCCGGAUUUAUUGGGCGUAAAGCGAGCGCAGGCGGUUAGAUAAGUCUGAAGUUAAAGGCUGUGGCUUAACCAUAGUACGCUUUGGAAACUGUUUAACUUGAGUGCAGAAGGGGAGAGUGGAAUUCCAUGUGUAGCGGUGAAAUGCGUAGAUAUAUGGAGGAACACCGGUGGCGAAAGCGGCUCUCUGGUCUGUAACUGACGCUGAGGCUCGAAAGCGUGGGGAGCAAACAGGAUUAGAUACCCUGGUAGUCCACGCCGUAAACGAUGAGUGCUAGGUGUUGGGCCCUUUCCGGGACUCAGUGCCGCAGCUAACGCAUUAAGCACUCCGCCUGGGGAGUACGACCGCAAGGUUGAAACUCAAAGGAAUUGACGGGGGCCCCGCACAAG